rnacentral:rRNA from 1 species
CAGCCGCCACGGUAAUACGUAGGGUGCGAGCGUUAAUCGGAAUUAUUGGGCGUAAAGAGCUCGUAGGCGGUUUGUCGCGUCUGCCGUGAAAGUCCGGGGCUCAACCCCGGAUCUGCGGUGGGUACGGGCAGACUAGAGUGAUGUAGGGGAGACCGGAAUUCCUGGUGUAGCGGUGAAAUGCGCAGAUAUCAGGAGGAACACCGAUGGCGAAGGCAGGUCUCUGGGCAUUAACUGACGCUGAGGAGCGAAAGCAUGGGGAGCGAACAGGAUUAGAUACCCCCGUAGUCCCUGUCUCUUAUAC